UUGUCUGAGUGUGAAGGCCGAGGACGAAGAUCUCACUGAUAUGAUCAUGGGAUUUCUGGAGCAGCCAGGGAUCAGCGCACUCGAGCAUGGAGUUAGUGUGAACCUGGUGGUGGAACGUCUUGGUAUACCAGAAUCAGAAGCAAGAUCGACGCUCGACAAGCUUGCUGAUCUCGGAUGCGUGUUCCAGACAAUUGACGAUGACCACUUCAAAUCUUGUGAUGAAUAGUAUGUCAUUCAGUUGUACAAUGCUGUCAUUCUGAAUCGUCGGUUUGAACCAGUUCAAGAAGGCAUUGCCCGAAUACCUUGUCUUUCU